rnacentral:piRNA from 1 species
GCACAGCAAUGCUGGGAACCGUGGUGAUC